GAUGAACGCUAGCGGCAGGCUUAUUACAUGCAAGUCGAGGGGCAGCAUGGUGUACCAAUACACUGAUGGCGACCGGCAAACGGGUGCGGAACACGUACCCAACCUUCCCAAAACUGGUGAAUAGCCCUCCAAAAGGAGGAUUAAUACACCGUAACAUAAUGAAGUGGCAUCAUUUUAUUAUUAUACCUCCGGCGGUUUUGGAUGGGCGUGCAACUGAUUAGGUAGUUGGCGGGGUAACGGCCCACCAAGCCUGCAAUCAGUAACUGGUGUGAAAGCACGACCAGUCACACGGGCACUGAAACACGGGCCCAACUCCUACGGGAGGCAGCAGUGGGAAAUAUUGAACAAUGGGCGGAAGCCUGAUCCACCCAUGCCGCGUGUGUGAAAAAGGCCUUUUGGUUGUAAAGCACUUUAAGCGAGGAGGAGGAGCUUCAGGUUAAUACCCUGGAUGCUUGGACGUUACUCCCAAAAUAAGCACCGGCUAACUCUGUG
rnacentral:rRNA from 1 species